CUCAUAGCGUAUAUUAAGUUGUUGCAGUUAGAACGCUCGUAGUCGGAUUUCGGGGCGGGCCGACCGGUCUGCCGAUGGGUAUGCACUGGCCGGCGCGUCCUUCCUCUCGGAGACCGUUCCUACUCUUAACUGAGCGGGAGCGGGAGACGGGACUUUUACUUUGAAAAAAUCAGAGUGUUUCAAGCAGGCAGCUCGCUCUUGCAUGGAUUAGCAUGGGAUAAUGAAAUAGGACUUUGGUGCUAUUUUGUUGGUUUCGAACACCGAAGUAAUGAUGAGAAGGGACAGUCAGGGGCACUCGUAUUCCGCCGAGAGAGGUGAAAUUCUCAGACCAGCGGAAGACGAACCACUGCGAAAGCAUUUGCCAGGGAUGUUUUCACUGAUCAAGAACGAAAGUUAGGGGAUCGAAGACGAUCAGAUACCGUCGUAGUCUUAACCAUAAACCAUGCCGACUAGGGAUCGGAGGAUGUUCACAUAUUGACUCCUUCGGCACCUUACGGGAAACUAAAGUCUUUGGGUUCCGGGGGGAGUAUGGUCGCAAGGCUGAAACUUAAAGGAAUUGACGGAAGGGCACCACCAGGUGUGGAGCCUGCGGCUUAAUUUGACUCAACACGGGGAAACUUACCAGGUCCAGACAUUGUGAGGAUUGACAGAUUGAGAGCUCUUUCUUGAUUCGAUGGGUGGUGGUGCAUGGC
rnacentral:rRNA from 1 species